ensembl:lncRNA
AAGACACACACGGCGCGCGCGAGAGAGAGACGGCGAGAGAGUGAGAGAGAGACACGGCGCGCGCGAGAGAGAGAUACGGCAAAAGAGUGAGAGAGAGGCACGGCCCGCAAGAGAGAAAAGAGAGAGAAUGAGAAAGAGACACAGCGCGCGAGAGAGACACACACACGGCACGCGCGCGCGCGAGAGAGAGAGAGAGAAAGAGAGAGACGACGAGAGAGAGAGAGCGAAGCGACAGGCGACCAUUAGUUUCCUAUGUCAGCGCAGUGACGGUGUUUGGACAGUUUAAAUGAUCUGCGAUUUUGCGCGCGCUCUCUGCUUGUGAGCAUCAGCUUCCAGUCAGAGGUCUGGAGAGGAGGGGCAUCGUGUUGGAGCAGGAUGUGAUGGGGGUGCUGGGGGAGGAGGUGUACCUGCGCUGUCUCUACACCGGCAACGAGACCGUCAUGUUUUCCACCUGGAACCGAGUUAACUCUGAAACUAACAGCGUAAUGAUGUCCGGCUUUAAAUACGCCAAUAAGGCCUUCAGCAAGGAGAGCUUCUCCAUCCCAGAAUCCCAAACCAACCUCACUGUGAAGGUGGGCAUCACCAGCGUAACUAUGGAGGGGCGAUAUGACUGUGCCUUCACCUUGGAAGAAAAUAUAAUAAAGGAGAGCCUGUUCCUCACUGUCAACGUCCGGCCUGAAAUCAGAACCCGAGUGGAGGAGGACGUUGUGAACGGAACUCUUUACCAGACCGUCCACUGCUCAGCCAUCAACGCCAAGCCCAUGGCUCUGAUCCGCUGGGAGAUCCGCGGAGUUCCUCCCGACCCAGACGUCUUCUACAUCUACACCACCAACUCCACUCAUCCCAACAGGACAGGCAGUGUGGUCAGCGUGCUGCGACUCCCCGUCCUGCUGAAUAACGAGAGUCGGGUCAGCUGUGUCGUCCAGCACCCGGCUUUACUCAGACCCACUGUUAGUGACGUAGAGUUACAGACGUACGGUAAGUUCUUAUUAUAGACUGAAUUGCAGACUGCUGUAAACAGAUGUUUGCUCAGGCUUUGUGUAAUAGACAAUACUAGCCUGGUCAGAACCCAGGUAGGAAAGUUAGUUUGUAUAUGUUUGUGUGCUUGGUUUCUCUCUGCCGUGUGUUCCAGACCACACGUCGCCACGUUCCAGCAGUUCUGCAGGUGUUUCCUGUCUAGCUAUAAAUGUUCACAGCCGUCUGCCAGUCAGCGUCAUUUCCACCCGAGCUGCUUAUACACACUAAUAGUACAGCUUAUUAAACCGAACAGGUUCCUUGUAAAUGUAUUUUAACGUAAAUAUACAUAUUUUCUUUGUCAGUGUUCAGUACGGAGUGUGUGUGGUGUUGAUGGUACGCGUGGAUCAGAUUCAGCAGUGCUGCUGAAGUUUUUAAACACCCCAGUGCCACUGCUGCACUAAAAAAAAAGUCCACCAACAGUGUCCCGUAGGCACAGUUUUGUG